rnacentral:lncRNA from 1 species
GUGUAAUGCUUCUUUUAAUAUCCCCUCAAGGUCAGACAUUACUGAAAAGAGCAGUUGUGUUGGUGUCUCAUGACGAAGUGAAGCACUACCUCAGGAGUAGAGCACAAACCACUGCAGAGGAAUCAACAGCCUCUGAGAGUCAGCAGGACACAGCACCUGCCAGAGUUCUUCACGUCAGUACUGGAGGAGUUUAUUCUGUGUGUGUGAGAUCUGUUAUUGUUUGUGCGUUACUCAAGUAGUAAACAGUGACUGCUGAUGUGAUUUGCAGGUGGUAGAGCAUAGGGAUGGUCUUGAGGAACAGGGCUCUACUAGUGGUACUCUAGAAGAGAGGGCCUCUCAGGAAGUAAAGGAAACCGACACCACCUUCAUUUCUGCCCAACAAAGCAUUGUCGGAAAAAGGAGGUUUUCCAAGCCCAAACCCAGUCUGAGCCGGGCAGCACAGUCCAUCCGCAGACCUCUGAAUGUACAGACAACAGAUUUUAGUGAAAAUACCCCGUCUUUCAAAUGUGACUCAGUGCAGCUGCAGUGUAGCAGUCCUGUGGAAGUCCAAGUGAAGAACACCCCUAAUGAAUGCCUUGUAGAAGAGCACAGGGACCGUCCUGAGGAAGAGAGCACAUGUAGUGUUACUCCAGAAGAGAACGGCCCUCAGGAUGUUCAGGUCCAGGAUGAUGAAGCAGAAACCACUGUAGAUGAUCUUCCUUCCUUAACAUCAGUUGGAAGUCCUCCAAGAGCGAGUAAGAUUUUACCCAUCCUUGGGAUGCCCCAGGUUCUUGACACCACACCGUCAGAUGAAGAUGUGCCUGAAAGAAGAAGAGAAUUUGAUAGGUCUCCAUCGCAGACGUCUGAGAAUGAAGAUCAAAUUACUGAUCAGGAGGAACAGGAUUCAGAGCCUGUUGAGUCUGAAGUCACAGACGCCAUGAUUGAGGAAUCUCAGACAGAGCUGAAGAGGAUUAUUCCAGUCAGGUGCGCACUGUCAGAUGAAUCGGUAGAUGGCUGAAAUUGUCUUGAAUGUUUUUAACAUCUUUUGCAUCUGUGCAGCUGUUCUGCGGAUGGUUCCUCAGUUUAUACUCAAGAUGAUAUUGCCCCAGAGAGACACAGUCAGUUUGAUAAGCAAACACCCAACCUAGAAGGGACACCCCCAGUCAUGAUCAACCCUCAGCAGACCUUAGAGCCUAAAGAAGGUGGGGUUCAUGUUGUUCAGAUUGACAAUAUCGCUUUAAGGGUCACUAGUGCUACCGCCAAUGAUUGAGACUUGACAUCUUCAUUUAGAUUCUGCCGAAAAGCCAGAAGCUCAGAGUCCUGUUCAAGCCCGGCACAGUCAUUUGGAUCAUGACAUAGAGAACAUCUCCAGAGAAGAUAAGCUUCUGUCAUCUGAGGUGGAUUUGCAGGAACGUAAACUGGAUGAACCAAAUGGUGAGUUUUAGACUUUUAACACUUUCUUAAGUUUUUGUUAUAUUUAAUUA